CAUUGUAGCAUACAAGGCGGACGGCUCAGUAACACGUAGUCAACCUAACUCGUGGACGUGGAUAACCUCGGGAAACUGAGAAUAAACCACGAUAGAUCAUAGUGCCUGGAAUGGCUUAUGGUCCAAACAGUUUACUGCCAUGGGAUGGGACUGCGGCCUAUCAGCUUGUUGGUGAGGUAAUGGCCCACCAAGGCGAUUACAGGUACGGGCUCUGAGAGGAGAAGCCCGGAGAUGGGUACUGAGACACGGACCCAGGCCCUAUGGGGCGCAGCAGGCGAGAAACCUUAGCAAUGUGCGAAAGCACGACUGGGUCAGUCCGAGUGAUUCCUGAUAAAGGAGUCUUUUGCUUGUCCUAAAAGCACAGGUGAAUAAGGGGUGGGCAAGUCUGGUGUCAGCCGCCGCGGUAAUACCAGCACCUCGAGUGGUCAGGACGUUUAUUGGGCCUAAAGCAUCCGUAGCUGGCUUUGCAAGUCUUCGGUUAAAUCCACCUGCUCAACAGAUGGGCUGCUGGAGAUACUACAAAGCUAGGGAGUGGGAGAGGCAGACGGUAUUCAGUGGGUAGGGGUAAAAUCCUCUGAUCCAUUGAGGACCACCAGUGGCGAAGGCGGUCUGCCAGAACACGUUCGACGGUGAGGGAUGAAAGCUGGGGGAGCAAACCGGAUUAGAUACCCGGGUAGUCCCAGCUGUAAACGAUGCAAACUCGGUGAUGCAUUGGCUUAUGGCCAAUGCAGUGCCGCAGGGAAGCCGUUAAGUUUGCCGCCUGGGAAGUACGGACGCAAGUCUGAAACUUAAAGGAAUUGGCGGGGGAGCACCACAAGGGGUGAAGCCUGCGGUUCAAUUGGAGUCAACGCCGGA
rnacentral:rRNA from 1 species